CCUACGGGAGGCAGCAGUGAGGAAUAUUGGUCAAUGGGCGGAAGCCUGAACCAGCCAAGUAGCGUGCAGGAUGACGGCCCUACGGGUUGUAAACUGCUUUUAUACGGGAAUAACGCGCCUUACGUGUAGGGCUUUGCAUGUACCUGAAGAAAAAGCAUCGGCUAACUCCGUGCCAGCAGCCGCGGUAAUACGGAGGAUGCGAUCGUUAUCCGGAUUUAUUGGGGUAAAGGGGUGUGCGGGCGGUUUGUUAGGUCAGCGGUCAAAGCCCGGGGCUCAACCCGGGCCCGCCGUUGAAACUGGCAGUCUCGAGUUGGAGAGAAGUAUGCAGAAUGCGCGGUGUAGCGGUGAAAUGCAUAGAUAUCGCACAGAACUCCGAUUGCGAAGGCAGCAUGCCGGCUCCACACUGACGCUGAGGCACGAAAGCGUGGGUAUCGAACAGGAUUAGAUACCCGUGUAGUC
rnacentral:rRNA from 1 species